CUACGGGAUGCAGCAGUGGGGAAUAUUGGACAAUGGGGGCAACCCUGAUCCAGCCAUGCCGCGUGUGUGAAGAAGGCCUUCGGGUUGUAAAGCACUUUCGGUCAGAAAGAAGGGUGUGUCGUUAAUAGCGGCAUACUUUGACGGUACUGACAUAAGAAGCACCGGCUAACUCCGUGCCAGCAGCCGCGGUAAUACGGAGGGUGCAAGCGUUCAUCGGAAUUACUGGGCGUAAAGCGCGCGUAGGCGGUUUGUUAAGUCGGAUGUGAAAGCCCCGGGCUCAACCUGGGAACUGCAUACGAUACUGGCAAGCUAGAGUGCAAUAGAGGGGGGUAGAAUUCCAGGUGUAGCGGUGAAAUGCGUAGAUAUCUGGAGGAAUACCGGUGGCGAAGGCGGCCCCCUGGAUUGACACUGACGCUGAGGUGCGAAAGCGUGGGUAGCAAACAGGAUUAGAUACCCCAGUAGUC
rnacentral:rRNA from 1 species